CUCAGUUGGUAGAGCAGAGGACUGAAAAUCCUCGUGUCA
rnacentral:tRNA from 1 species